UUAAGUUAAAUUAAUAAAAUAAAAUAAUAAAAUAAAAUAUAAUAAAGUAAAAUUCAAAAUAAUAUAAAUAAUAUAAAUAAAUAAAUAAAUAAAUAAAUAAAUAAAUAAAUAAACAAAUAAACAAAUAAAACAAAAUAAAAUAAAUUGGACUGGCCAUCUGUCCAGGGCUGUCCUAAUAAUUUAUGGCUUCAACAAUAACUGCAGCAACAAAGGUACUUGAGCAAAAACUGUGGUUACCAUGGUCCAUUCCUGAAAAGAAAUCCAUGCUCAAACAGCCUACCAUUCUCUAUACUAAAUAUCUUGUUCCUUGUCCUCUCUGGUUGUAAAACAGGCCGAGGGGCAAGCCACAUUUUUAAUUUGCCACGAGGGAAUUCGGAAAAAGCCUUCAUGCAGUAAAACCCUUCAGCACUUUAAACUUCACACCCUCUGUCUCACCCUCCAUUUCUCCCACUCUCUGAGCCGAGGUUUCGCUCUGAACCCCGGCACUGCUGCGGGGCAAAGUCCUGUCUGCUCAGAACACACUCUCGCCAAUGUGCCAUGCAUUAUGAUCUGUGCGUGUGAAGUUACGCCUGCCAGUUUUGCUUAACAUUUUAUCACUUAUCAUGUGGAAACACGCCGUCUCUUCUUCGCAGCAGAUUAAAAAAAGCCCGUCCCUGCUGUAGGACACUGCAUGCUUCUGUCGGCUCAAGGGACGCCUUAUUGCUUGACUUUUCUGUCACUCAUCUUGAAAACUUCUGUCGUGAUGUAGUUCAGGCAGGGCAUGGCAUCUUAAUGAGCUGGAUAUUCCAACAGAAUUUCAUAUGAGUGGGAUGGAAUGGACAGACUGGGCAAACACACACAGAGCUGCGUUUACGCUCCUGAGGCGAUGUGAACCUGAGAGACUGAUGUAAUUAUCUGAGGUCCCUCUCAGCUGCAGAGUAGACCAAUCACAACAGACCGGGUCAUCUGACCAAUCAGAGCAGAGGAAGCUUUUGGAAAGGAGGAGUUCAGAGAGAACAAAUCUUCGAACAAACCAUUUUAAGCAACUGCGAUGACAUAAAACACCACAAUAUUGUGUAUUUCUGCAUGUGUGUCGUGGGAGUGCAGAGCGGGAAAACUGCCAUUUUCCUGAUACAGCUACAUCUCCAGUGAGUCACCUCACUUCAUUUGAUGAAAUAAACCCGAGCCCAUGUGUGAAGAAAAAGCAAGAGGAACAGGACAAAGACGUGCAAACACACACUUACACACAGACAAAGUCAAACACACACUCACAACACACAAAAAAAGAAAGCAGGGGACUGAAUUAUGUUUCAUUUUUCAGUGUUUGGGAUUUGCAAGUAAAAUAACCUCCCUGCCAAAAUGGAGCGUCUGAAUGCAUUACACGGGGACAGGUUUAUCCUUAUGAAUACACACGAAUGUAUAAAAGAAUCUGGGAGUGCUUGUGUGUUUGUGACAGGUUGUGUGUGACUGACAGCUGGUGAUUUAUCUGCUGUAGACCCGUCCUGAUGACAGGAUACUGAUUCAUGGCCUCCUCAUGCAUAUGAAUGUUAGUGUUGAUCUGGAAAAGGAGCCUUAUUUACACUGCAAGACUUUAUUGAAAAGCGGGAGAGAGAUGGAGUUUACUUGACCCCAAUAACAGACAAAAGCCAAACUGCCGUACAAAUGAUGUCAACAGAUUUCGCAAUGUAAAUUAAUCUCUUCGAACCUCUCAAAAUUAUAUUCAGAACCUUAUGGAGGCCUUCAAUUUCAUCGACACAUCAGGUGUGUCACGCACACACGCAUCUGCUAACUCUAUUUGCACUUCAAUGUUACAAUGCUAAAUUGAGUUAUUUUUCACUGCUUAUUGCGCUUAAACCGUCAAACACACACAAAAUAAUGUCAAAAUGCCGGUCUUGGUGAGUAUUCACGUAAACACAGUCAGUUAUGUUUGAAGUGAACGUAAACAGCUGAGAAAGAAAACGCAUGUGUAACAGUAUAAUGGAUCUUAA